rnacentral:rRNA from 1 species
UACGAAGGGGGCUAGCGUUGUUCGGAAUCACUGGGCGUAAAGCGCACGCAGGCGGAUUGAUAAGUCGGGGGUGAAAUCCCGGGGCUCAACCUCGGAAUUGCCUUCGAUACUGUCUGUCUUGAGUCCGGGAGAGGUGAGUGGAAUUCCUAGUGUAGAGGUGAAAUUCGUAGAUAUUAGGAAGAACACCAGUGGCGAAGGCGGCUCACUGGCCCGGUACUGACGCUCAUGUGCGAAAGCGUGGGGAGCAAACAGGAUUGAG